CGGGGUGAGUAACGCGUGGAGAACCUGCCGUAUACUGGGGGAUAACACUUAGAAAUAGGUGCUAAUACCGCAUAAGCGCACAGCUUCGCAUGAAGCAGUGUGAAAAACUCCGGUGGUAUACGAUGGAUCCGCGUCUGAUUAGCUGGUUGGCGGGGUAAAGGCCCACCAAGGCGACGAUCAGUAGCCGGCCUGAGAGGGUGAACGGCCACAUUGGGACUGAGACACGGCCCAAACUCCUACGGGAGGCAGCAG
rnacentral:rRNA from 1 species